rnacentral:lncRNA from 1 species
CUAGAAGCCUGCCAGCAGGGCCUCUGAAGAGGUAAAACUGGUGGGGUAUGUUGGAGGGAUGCACAGGUGGUGGGAACCAAGUUGGUAUGGUUUCAUCCCCACUGCCUUUUGGGAGUCGUUCCUCAAGUGAGGAAGCUUGCCCAGAAUUUGCCUUGGAGAAAGCCCAUUGGAGCAGUUAUUACUGCUAGUAUUUUACAUCCUGCUGUACUUGUAUUUUAGUACAUUCAAUCAAAUAUGCCAUUAUGAGGAAAAAACAGCCAAAAUCCAUUCUAAUGCUUUGAUAACUUUUCUGUCAGCCAUCCAGUUGACUACGAUGUGAUUGCCUUACAUGUGCAAUGAUGUCCAGAAGAUCUCUGCCUCCGCAAGCUAUACAGUGUCGUCCUUGCCAUUAUGUUCCUCUAAAAAGAGUACUUCACUUCCCAAAUUCUGACUCACACUGAAACCUGCUCAGUUCUUCCCCAAAGAGCAUCUUCUCCUAGCGGAAAUCUGAGAGAAAUAACUAAAGGGAGAGCAGGAUUUUGGACAGCCUUAACACCAGCAAUUGUGUUUGCAGAUAUUAUAGUCUUGGUGUCUCAUCACUGCACGAGCUAGAUCGAGUAACUCCACCAGCAGCACGCUUGCCAAGCCAAAUAAUUUCCUGAGAGAAAAAAUCACCUUCCAGCUCUCCUGCACCACUGAAGUAGUGCUAUGGGGUUUUUCUGUCAAGGGCACAGUGUUUGCAUGCAGUGCCUAUAAAGACUCUGCAGGCUCAGCUGCCAUCCAUCCCAAACCACUGGCAGGUGAGUUUUGUUUUGUACUAUGUUACUUUAAGCAACAUUUUCUCUUGGAGAGGGCCAACAGUCACCAGAAGCAUCUAUCUGCAGGAAGGAAAGCAAAUCCAAAGGCAUGAGGUAUUAUUUGAAUGCUCUGCAUACAGACCUUUGCUUUCCUCCCAGUAAGUUUCUCCACCUUGUAGAACCUCAUAACCUGAAGUCAUGCUUCUCCAGACCAGUCAGCCUUGGAGCUCUCCGGACUUGUUUCAGCAGAUCAUUAGUUAAUC